UUACAGAUAAAUAUCUGCAUACAUAAUGGGAAACCAGAAAAACAAAAAACGCAAGGUAUCUAAUAAGUGGAGUUGGGUCUACAUGAAAUUUUUGAAGAGAAGAAACAAACAGGAAAAGAUAGUUCACUCAUUUCCGACGGCGUAAGACUGGUUCAAUUGUUGGAAAGCGG